rnacentral:ncRNA from 2 species
GGCUCAUCCAGAGGGGCAGAGGGAACGGCCCGUUGAAGCCCCGGCAACCGGCAGACGCACACUGCGCAGAUCUGUUCUGCGUGCGCUGAUCACGGUGCCAAUUCCGACCCGCACGGCGCGGGGAAGAUGAGGA